UGGGGAAUAUUGCACAAUGGAGGGAACUCUGAUGCAGCGACGCCGCGUGAACCAAGAAGGCUUUCGAGUCGUAAAGUUCUUUUAUAUGGGAAGAUAAUGACGGUACCAUAAGAAAAAGCCCCGGCUAACUACGUGCCAGCAGCCGCGGUAAUACGUAGGGGGCUAGCGUUGUCCGGAAUCACUGGGCGUAAAGGGUUCGCAGGCGGAAAUGCAAGUCAGGUGUAAAAGGCAGUAGCUUAACUACUGUAAGCAUUUGAAACUGCAUAUCUUGAGAAGAGUAGAGGUAAGUGGAAUUUUUAGUGUAGCGGUGAAAUGCGUAGAUAUUAAAAAGAAUACCGGUGGCGAAGGCGGCUUACUGGGCUCAUUCUGACGCUGAGGAACGAAAGCGUGGGUAGCAAACAGG
rnacentral:rRNA from 1 species